rnacentral:rRNA from 1 species
GACGAACCGUGCGAACGUUGUUCGGAUUCACUGGGCAUAAAGGGCGCGUAGGCGGACGGUCAAGUCGGGGGUGAAAUCUUUCAGCUUAACUGGAAAAGUGCCUCCGAUACUGAUCGUCUCGAGGGAGGUAGGGGCAUGUGGAACUUCCGGUGGAGCGGUGAAAUGCGUAGAUAUCGGAAGGAACGCCGGUGGCGAAAGCGACGUGCUGGACCUCUUCUGACGCUGAGGCGCGAAAGCUAGGGGAGCAAACGGG